GCUUACGGCCACACUGCCUAGUUCACGCCCGAUCUCGUUUGAUCUCGGAAGCUAAGAUAGGGUGGGCCUGGUUAUACUUGGAUGGGAGACCCCUGGGAAUACCAGGUGCUGUAAGCU
rnacentral:rRNA from 1 species